rnacentral:rRNA from 1 species
GAGUGGCGAACUGGUGAGUAACACGUGGGAAACCUGCCCAGAAGCGGGGGAUAACACCUGGAAACAGAUGCUAAUACCGCAUAACAACUUGGACCGCAUGGUCCGAGUUUGAAAGAUGGCUUCGGCUAUCACUUUUGGAUGGUCCCGCGGCGUAUUAGCUAGAUGGUGAGGUAACGGCUCACCAUGGCAAUGAUACGUAGCCGACCUGAGAGGGUAAUCGGCCACAUUGGGACUGAGACACGGCCCAAACUCCUACGGGAGGCAGCAGUAGGGAAUCUUCCACAAUGGACGAAAGUCUGAUGGAGCAACGCCGCGUGAGUGAAGAAGGGUUUCGGCUCGUAAAACUCUGUUGUUAAAGAAGAACAUAUCUGAGAGUAACUGUUCAGGUAUUGACGGUAUUUAACCAGAAAGCCACGGCUAACUACGUGCCAGCAGCCGCGGUAAUACGUAGGUGGCAAGCGUUGUCCGGAUUUAUUGGGCGUAAAGCGAGCGCAGGCGGUUUUUUAAGUCUGAUGUGAAAGCCUUCGGCUCAACCGAAGAAGUGCAUCGGAAACUGGGAAACUUGAGUGCAGAAGAGGACAGUGGAACUCCAUGUGUAGCGGUGAAAUGCGUAGAUAUAUGGAAGAACACCAGUGGCGAAGGCGGCUGUCUGGUCUGUAACUGACGCUGAGGCUCGAAAGUAUGGGUAGCAAACAGGAUUAGAUACCCUGGUAGUCCAUACCGUAAACGAUGAAUGCUAAGUGUUGGAGGGUUUCCGCCCUUCAGUGCUGCAGCUAACGCAUUAAGCAUUCCGCCUGGGGAGUACGGCCGCAAGGCUGAAACUCAAAGGAAUUGACGGGGGCCCGCACAAGCGGUGGAGCAUGUGGUUUAAUUCGAAGCUACGCGAAGAACCUUACCAGGUCUUGACAUACUAUGCAAAUCUAAGAGAUUAGACGUUCCCUUCGGGGACAUGGAUACAGGUGGUGCAUGGUUGUCGUCAGCUCGUGUCGUGAGAUGUUGGGUUAAGUCCCGCAACGAGCGCAACCCUUAUUAUCAGUUGCCAGCAUUAAGUUGGGCACUCUGGUGAGACUGCCGGUGACAAACCGGAGGAAGGUGGGGAUGACGUCAAAUCAUCAUGCCCCUUAUGACCUGGGCUACACACGUGCUACAAUGGAUGGUACAACGAGUUGCGAACUCGCGAGAGUAAGCUAAUCUCUUAAAGCCAUUCUCAGUUCGGAUUGUAGGCUGCAACUCGCCUACAUGAAGUCGGAAUCGCUAGUAAUCGCGGAUCAGCAUGCCGCGGUGAAUACGUUCCCGGGCCUUGUACACACCGCCCGUCACACCAUGAGAGUUUGUAACACCCAAAGUCGGUGGGGUAACCUUUUAGGAACCAGCCGCCUAAGGUGGGACAGAUGAUUAGGGUGAAGUCGUAACAAGGUAGCCGUAGGAGAACCUGCGGCUGGAUCACCUCCUUUCU